rnacentral:rRNA from 1 species
GAACGCGAAGAACCUUACCAAGUCUUGACAUGCCGUUGACGUACCGGUAAUGCGGUAUUUCCUUCGGGACAACGGACACAGGUGGUGCAUGGUUGUCGUCAGCUCGUGUCGUGAGAUGUUGGGUUAAGUCCCGCAACGAGCGCAACCCUUGUCCUUAGUAGCCAGCAGUAAGAUGGGGACUCUAAGGAGACAGACGGAGAUAAUCCGGAGGAAGAUGGGGAUGACGUCAAAUCAUCAUGCCCCUUAUGAUUUGGGCUACACACGUGCUACAAUGGCGUAAACAAAGAGAGGCAAGAGGGCGACCUUAAGCAAAUCUCAAAAAUAACGUCUCAGUUCGGAUUGCAGGCUGCAACUCGCCUGCAUGAAGCCGGAAUCGCUAGUAAUCGCAGAUCAGCAUGCUGCGGUGAAUACGUUCCCGGGUCUUGUACACACC